UACGGAGGGUGCAAGCGUUGUCCGGAAUCACUGGGCGUAAAGGGCGCGUAGGCGGCCUGGUAAGUAGGGGGUGAAAUCCUGCGGCUUAACCGCAGGGCUGCCUUCUAAACUGUCAGGCUUGAGCACGGUAGAGGCAGAUGGAAUUCCCGGUGUAGCGGUGGAAUGCGUAGAGAUCGGGAAGAACAUCAGUGGCGAAGGCGGUCUGCUGGGCCGUUGCUGACGCUGAGGCGCGACAGCGUGGGGAGCGAACAGG
rnacentral:rRNA from 1 species